GCACGGACUUCGGUCUGGUGGCGAGUGGCGAACGGGUGAGUAAUAUAUCGGAACAUACCCAGUAGUGGGGGAUAACUAUCCGAAAGGAUAGCUAAUACCGCAUACGAUCUGUGGAUGAAAGCAGGGGAUCUUCGGACCUUGUGCUAUUGGAAUGGCCGAUAUCUGAUUAGCUAGUUGGUAGGGUAAAAGCCUACCAAGGCGACGAUCAGUAGCUGGUCUGAGAGGACGACCAGCCACACUGGAACUGAGACACGGUCCAGACUCCUACGGGAGGCAGCAGUGGGGAAUUUUGGACAAUGGGGGCAACCCUGAUCCAGCAAUGCCGCGUGAGUGAAGAAGGCCCUCGGGUUGUAAAGCUCUUUUGUCAGGGAAGAAACAGAGUUCUCUAAUAUAGGAUUCUAAUGACGGUACCUGAAGAAUAAGCACCGGCUAACUACGUGCCAGCAGCCGCGGUAAUACGUAGGGUGCAAGCGUUAAUCGGAAUUACUGGGCGUAAAGCGUGCGCAGGCGGUUUUGUAAGUCUGAUGUGAAAUCCCCGGGCUCAACCUGGGAACUGCAUUGGAGACUGCAAGGCUAGAGUGUGUCAGAGGGGGGUAGAAUUCCACGUGUAGCAGUGAAAUGCGUAGAGAUGUGGAGGAAUACCGAUGGCGAAGGCAGCCCCCUGGGAUAACACUGACGCUCAUGCACGAAAGCGUGGGGAGCAAACAGGAUUAGAUACCCUGGUAGUCCACGCCCUAAACGAUGUCUACUAGU
rnacentral:rRNA from 1 species